AAUUACUGGGCGUAAAGCGCACGCAGGCGGUUGAUUGAGUCAGAUGUGAAAUCCCCGGGCUUAACCCGGGAAUUGCAUCUGAUACUGGUCAGCUAGAGUCUUGUAGAGGGGGGUAGAAUUCCAUGUGUAGCGGUGAAAUGCGUAGAGAUGUGGAGGAAUACCGGUGGCGAAGGCGGCCCCCUGGACAAAGACUGACGCUCAGGUGCGAAAGCGUGGGGAGCAAACAGGAUUAGAUACCCUGGUAGUCCACGCUGUAAACGAUGUCGACUUGGAGGUUGUGCCCUUGAGGCGU
rnacentral:rRNA from 1 species